AUUGAACGCUGGCGGCAGGCCUAACACAUGCAAGUCGAGCGGAUGAAGAGAGCUUGCUCUCUGAUUUAGCGGCGGACGGGUGAGUAAUGCCUAGGAAUCUGCCUGGUAGUGGGGGAUAACGUCCGGAAACAGGCGCUAAUACCGCAUACGUCCUACGGGAGAAAGCAGGGGACCUUCGGGCCUUGCGCUAUCAGAUGAGCCUAGGUCGGAUUAGCUAGUUGGUGAGGUAAUGGCUCACCAAGGCUACGAUCCGUAACUGGUCUGAGAGGAUGAUCAGUCACACUGGAACUGAGACACGGUCAAGACUCCUACGGGAGGCAGCAGUGGGGAAUAUUUGACAAUGGGCGAAAGCCUGAUCCAGCCAUGCCGCGUGUGUGAAGAAGGUCUUCGGAUUGUAAAGCACUUUAAGUUGGGAGGAAGGGCAGUAAGUUAAUACCUUGCUGUUUUGACGUUACCGACAGAAUAAGCACCGGCUAACUCUGUGCCAGCCGCCGCGGUAACAC
rnacentral:rRNA from 1 species